UAUUGUUGAUAAGAAUGGUGAAAAUUCCUUUUGCCAUUUAGUGGAGGUGUAUAAAGACCAUCAUCGGAAGAUAAAAAUUCAUAGAAUUAUCAGUUGUGCCGUUUGCUUAUCUUGAAGAAAAUUGAGUAUCCAGCACUGUGGUCUAACAAUAUUAUCAAUUACUUUUGAAGGAAAAUGUUUUUUUCGUUCUAUCCAAACUGUUUGGGCAAUUGAAAACUUGUGGCAUCUUUUGCUGACAAUAAGAAAAUGGAGGACUAAUGUUGACAAGAAUGGUGAAAAAUCCUUUUGCAAUUUAGUGGAGGUGUAUAAAGACCAUCAUCAGAAGAUAAAAAUUCAUGGAAUUAUCAGUUAUACCGUUUGCUUAUCUUGAAGAAAAUUGAGUAUCCAGCACUGUGGUCUAACAAUAUUAUCAAUUACUUUUGAAAGAAAAUGGUUUUUUCUUUCCAUCCAAACUGUAUGGGCAAUUUGAAACUCGUAGUGUCUUUUGCUGACAAUAAGAAAAUGGAGGACUAAUGUUGACAAGAAUUGUGAAAAUUCUUUUUGCCAUUUAGUGGAGGUGUAUAAAGACUUAUCAUCUAAAGAUAAAAAUUCAAAGGACUAUGUGUUGACCUUUUUGCACAAUUCAUUAUCUCAAAAAAUCUUUAUGUGCCAUUCAGCUGACUUGUAUGGAUUGGUAUAAACAGUUUCUUCUGCCUGAAAAAUCUUGGAUUCCAUUUUAACUUCCAAGUAUCAGCAGAGAAAUGUGCGUAAAGUGCCUUCUUUUUUUCAUGCAGGGAUCUAAUGAUACAAAACAGAGGUCAUGAAGUUUAUAAUGAAUAUUCUACAAGAAGACAAAACCUCUUUUCAGUUAAAUGCCAUCAAAUCUUUUUUUCGACAUUUUCCUUCAACACUGGUUAUUAUAACUAUCCUGUAAGCACCAGCUAUAUUAAUAUGUGCAUCAAAGUAUUCAUCUUACUGAAACUGCAGUUAAUAAUUUGAUUCAAAGCUGCUCCGUUUGGUUAAUUGAGUUCAAAUUAGAUCAAUUGCUUGAAAUCAAUGAAAUGAAAAACAUUUUAUUUAGUGUGUGUUAUGGACAGAGUGCUGUACCCAGGAGCCGAAACGAGACCCAUUACUGAAAAAAAUGAAAUAUCAAAGAUGGAUUUGAAUGGGACACAUACUGCGAAUACCGGCUACUGAAUUUAUUGGUGCUGCUCUCACAUGGGCGCAGGAAGGACGAAGAAAGCGAGAAAGUCAGAAAAUGACAUGGUGACGAAUGAUAGUUGGUGAAAGAGAUGAGCUUGGAGGAGCUUGGCUGUUUUUGACUGCAAGCGUUGGAGGACAAGCCUUAUGCCUCAUACUGACAUAAGAGAAAUCUUGAUGGUGAUGAUUAUUGAUCAUGUUAAUGAGGCUGCAAUCUGAAGAAUGGGGAUCCAAAUAGAUUGAUUACUUAAAAGCUGUCAAAAAUUUAAUAUUACAAAGUUGUCAUCUAUUCCUGAUUUCAAGAAAGCCGCAGUUAGUUUUGAUUCCUGAAAAUUUACUACCAUUUAUAUCAUCAUAUCGAUAAAGGUGUCAUCUACUCGUGAUAAUUGCUAGGAAGCCACAAAUUUGUUUGCAUUCCUGAAAAAUUGCUACCAUUUAUAUUUGGUUUUCCAAGUUUUUUGAUGCCACUGGAACAAGUUUGUUUCUUUUUGUCCAAUUAUUUUCCCAUUAUUUGAUACCAAUUAUGUGUUCUUGAAUUUGAAAAAAAGUAUUAAUCUAGUAAAUAAGUAAUUUUAUUGUAAAACAGCUUGUAAUAACAAUUUUAUUAAAUGGCUAUAUUGUAAUCUAGCUUUAUAAGACUAAAAUUAAUAAGUUCAUGCACAGGUUUUAGUUCUAAUUUUAACUUACGAACAAAAGGAAAACGCAUGAUGACAGUAAAUAAAAAUCGCUUAUGCACUAUUUUCCUCUUUAAAAAGAGAAUAAGAUUAAUUAUUUGUUGCAGUUAUCCCGGGGUUAAACGCAAAGUUUUAAAAUUAAUUUAAACUUUCCUUAGGAUUUAAAAUAGUAUAAUUUCCUGGAAACCUGCCUGCUGAAAUAUUUUAGUGUUAGCAGAAUUAUAAAGUUUUCACUGAAGUUUUGUCAGCUUUUUAAAAAUGAACUUUGACUUUCACUAGAACAUUCAGCCCAAGAGAGCUAAUCUUCGAUUUGGGCAAAAUCAAGGGUUUUUAACAAAUACUUUGCUUAUAUAUAUAACUCAUGUAGAAUCUGCAAACCAUCGUCAAAAAACCGAAUUUUGCUUCCAUUUAAGUGACAAAGUCUUAGGUGAACAUAAUUUGCUGGUGAACUUCGCUCAGUUGUUAAGACAAGAGCAGUGAAAGGGAAAAAAACUUGAAGGAUGAAAUGGACAAAAAAUAUUAAGGAACAACAAAUGAACAAAUCAAUUUUUCAACAAAUGAACGAUGCUAUUUGAAUUAGAAAGGGCACAUAGCACAAGAAAUAAAUUAUAAGAAUGAUUCAUGUUGAUCAACUUGUCUGAUUCAUGUUAAUCAACAUAUGAAUACAAAAGCAUUCCAGCCUAUUGUCACUAAACUGUUUCUUCCUGAUUUGUGCAUGAUUUCGGUCGGUGGUCGAU
rnacentral:lncRNA from 1 species